rnacentral:rRNA from 1 species
AACGAACGCUGGCGGCAGGCCUAACACAUGCAAGUCGAACGCCCCGCAAGGGGAGUGGCAGACGGGUGAGUAACACGUGGGAACGUACCCUUCGGUUCGGGAUAACUCAGGGAAACUUGAGCUAAUACCGGAUACGUCCGAGAGGAGAAAGAUUUAUCGCCGAGGGAUCGGCCCGCGUCUGAUUAGCUUGUUGGUGAGGUAACGGCUCACCAAGGCGACGAUCAGUAGCUGGUCUGAGAGGAUGAUCAGCCACAUUGGGACUGAGACACGGCCCAAACUCCUACGGGAGGCAGCAGUGGGGAAUAUUGGACAAUGGGCGCAAGCCUGAUCCAGCCAUGCCGCGU